rnacentral:misc_RNA from 1 species
GAUGAAGAACGUAGCGAAAUGCGAUAAGUAAUGUGAAUUGCAGAAUUCAGUGAAUCAUCGAGUUUUUGAACGCAUAUUGCGCCCUCUGGUAUUCCGGGGGGCAUGCCUGUUCGAGCGUCAUUUCACCACUCAAGCCUCGCUUGGUAUUGGGCAACGCGGUCCGCCGCGUGCCUCAAAUCGACCGGCUGGGUCUUCUGUCCCCUAAGCGUUGUGGAAACUAUUCGCUAAAGGGUGUUCGGGAGGCUACGCCGUAAAACAACCCCAUUUCUAAGGUUGACCUCGGAUCAGGUAGGGAUACCCGCUGAACUUAAGCAUAUCAAUAAGCGGAGGA